GGGGGAAUAGCUCAGUUGGUAGAGCGCGUGCUUAGCAUGCACGAGGUCCCGGAUUCGAUUUCCGGUUUCUCCA
rnacentral:tRNA from 1 species